rnacentral:rRNA from 1 species
CCUACGGGUGGCAGCAGUGGGGAAUAUUGGACAAUGGGCGAAAGCCUGAUCCAGCCAUGCCGCGUGUGUGAAGAAGGCCUUCGGGUUGUAAAGCACUUUCAGUGGGGAAGAAAGCCUUGGGGCUAAUACCCUCGAGGAAGGACAUCACCCACAGAAGAAGCACCGGCUAACUCCGUGCCAGCAGCCGCGGUAAUACGGAGGGUGCGAGCGUUAAUCGGAAUUACUGGGCGUAAAGCGCGCGUAGGCGGUCUGAUAAGCCGGUUGUGAAAGCCCCGGGCUCAACCUGGGAACGGCAUCCGGACCUGUCAGGCUUGAGUGCAGGAGAGGAAGGUAGAAUUCCCGGUGUAGCGGUGAAAUGCGUAGAGAUCGGGAGGAAUACCAGUGGCGAAGGCGGCCUUCUGGACUGACACUGACGCUGAGGUGCGAAAGCGUGGGUAGCAAACAGGAUUAGAUACCCGUGUAGUC